UUUAUGGCGGCUGUACGUGGGAGGUCUUCGGAUCUGCCGGGUUUUGCUCCUAUCUACCGGUCUUGCACACCCGCGUACAGCUGCCACCCU
rnacentral:antisense_RNA from 1 species